GCAAACCUUUAGACCGGUCAGUCUCCAAGAGCCCUUUGUAAUACAGGUAAAAAACCUUUGUCCAUGAUUUCUGAUCCAGGCUAUAUACCACAAUUUAAAAGAACACAUAAUGUGAGACAUAGAAGACACAAGCAGUAGUUAUUACACUGGAUCAUUUAAAAGGAACCUGUUGCAAUAAAAAGGUUAGUUUACAGUGCAAAAUAAAGCAUGUGUUGGACCGCUGAAAAUGUAAAUGUUGCUCUGUUAUU